UGACAAUUCACUCUAAUUAAUAUGUAUAUGUAGAAUAGUUUUAUGACCGAGAGUUUAAAAAGAUUCCUCUACUGGAGAGAGCCUAUUGCCAUUAGGUAAGUGUAAUUAGCAUCUUCUUCUAUGGCAAAUCUGCAGAGACUGAGAUAGGAACUUGGCCUGUGAUAAUUUCCCUCUAAUUGGAUAAAAUGCCCUUCACUGAAAGAAAGCAAACCUGAAGAGUAGCUUUCUCUAAACUAGCAAUGAGUCUUUACUAUGUGUAAUUAAAAUUCAGAUACAACAAGCUCUCCCCACUGCUGCCCAUCUGCCAGCCAGCACAUUGUAUAUGGGGCUAUGUGAUACAGCACUUGUGGGUAUUUGGAGGAAGCCAGAACUCUCUCCAAUCCCGCCACUGAAGGAAGGGAGAACACACACCCACGCCAAAGGGGAGAGGGCAGUGAGGACAUUCCAGAGAGGCUCAUGUUCCCUCAGGGGCACUGGAACGAAAUAAAAGUGUUUCAAAGGGAAGCCGGACUGCUUCCCUCCCACAGGCAACAAACUUUAUCUCAUCUUAAGCACUGGAGUUCUAAAAGCCACACUCAGGGCACCUGGAAGACAAGAUGGGAAAACAAGCCCAGAGAAUAAAUAAUGAAGAAUGACUGCCACCGCCCUAAAGACUUCCAAAGACUUCGAAGGGAAAGGUAACGUCAUCAACCUCGACAGCUCUGGAGUCAUAACCUCAAGGAGAAAUAGGAUAAGGAGGGACUAUAGCAAACUAAACAAUAUUCAAGUGGUAUAUGUGCACGUCUGUUACAUGGGUAUAUUGCUUGACUCCGAGGCCUGGGGUAUUAAUGAUUCUAACACCAAGUAGUACUUGAGGAAUCACCACACUGUCUUCCACAAUGGUUGAACUAAUUUACACUCCCACCAAGAGUGUAAAAGUGUUCCUGUUUCUCCACAUCCUCUUCAGCAUCUGUUGUCUCCAGACUUUUUAAUGAUCCCCAUUCUAACAGGCGUGAGAUGGUAUCUCAAUGUGGGUUUGAUUGUUUUUUUAUAUUUUUGUUGGCUACACGCAUGUCUUCUUUUGAGAAGUGUAUAUUCAUGUCCUUUGCCCAUUUUUAACGGUGUUGUUUUUUGCUUGUUAAAUUGCUUAAGUUCUUUAUAGAUUCUGGAUAUGAGACCUUUGUCAGAUACAUAAUUUGCAAAUAUUUUUUCCCAUGCAAUGAUUUUUCUUAGGAAACAUUUUUCCAUAGAAAAAUAAAACUAGAUUUUUAUGUUAGCAGUGGCAGAAACUACUGGAUGUCAACAAACUUAAAAUGCAAAUUUUAAAAUCAAUAUUAAAAUAAUUACUUAGAAUUUUUAUGUACUGUAUAUCUACAAAAAUGUUGAGUUUUUUAGAUAUAGAUUUUUAUCAAAUAUCACACAAAAUCACAUUGCUCUGUUUCCUUGCCUUUCUGCAGAAACCCAGUGUGAUUUUGUGAAGAUAUUUUGAAUCAUGAACACAACAUAUGCAGUACUGUCAAUGCAAGUAACUCAAAUGAAGUGAUGACAAGAUAAAACACUUGUGAUCAAGUUCAGGAGUGUGUAGGCAGUGACGAUUACGUUGUGACUGUCACCUGGCCAACAGUAAUUCAUUUUAAGUUGAAUCCCUGAUUCAGAAGUAGCCAAGUAUAAAAAUAUGCAUAUUACUAUUAAUGAAAUACUUUCAUCUAUAGUGCUUAAAUGAGUUUCUGAAGUAUUAAUUUUAUAGGAAAACUUACGUUUACUUUUCUUUAAACCUUAAAAAUUUUAAAAACUAUAUAUUUAAAAAUAAACUACUUUCACAACAGAAUCAAUCCGUGGUCAAUGAUUGAACUGACUGAAUAUUUUAUGCUGCUUUUUUGCCUAGGGUAAUCUACAGUGCUAUCCACUAAACUGCUGCUCUCUUGCUUCAAGAAAGAAUGAAUAAAACCUUCAAAGUAACUCAUAACUUUUUACAAGGAACUGAAAUAAGUCAACAUCAUGAAUAUAAAUAUUUCAAACUUGAUAAAAACAAACAUUUAAUUACCUAAAGCUCUAGGUUGGGUACUUCAGGGAAUACAAUAAUAAUAAAAAUAUUCCAGGUGGGGGAAAAAAAUAUUCCAGGCUGGGCAGGGUGGCUCACUUCUGUAAUCCCAGCACUUUGGGAGGCCAAGGCAGGCAGAUCACUUGAGGCCAGGAGUUUCAGACCAUCCUUGCCAACAUGGUGAAAGAUUUGGAAAGUGUUGAGAAGGAGGUGGGAUUUGAAUAAAGUCUGGAAGAAUAAUUUGAGAAAAUAUACUAGAAAUAAAUGCAUUGAGGGUUUACUAUUUUAGGUGCUACAGAUACAUAUUCACAUUAAAUUCUAAUAGGUAUUAUUAUUCUCAGUUUACAUAUGGGAAAACUGAGGCCAGAUAAAUUAAGGAAUUUGCUCAAAAUGCCACAACCUAAGCUGGUUCCAUUUUCAGCACAGCCUUUUCCAAGCCUUCUACUUUCCACAAGAGUCAACAAAGUGCAGAAUGGAUCCUGAAGAAGACUCGGUUGGAAUUCUCCCUUCCUUACAGUCCUGAUUUGUGUAAAGCGCUCAACUUCUCUGUUUCUAUAAUUUGCUUAUCAAGGAGAUAACAUUAUUUUUCCAAGGGACUGUUGAGGUACUUAAAUGAGCUCUUGCAAGUAAAACGCCUGGAAUAGCAAUUGGCAUACAGCGCUCAAUGGGUAUUAGCCAUUAUGUUGUAAGAAAAAGUAGAAAUAGGGAAGAGGGAAAGAGUAGACAGUGAGGAGGAGGAGGAGAUGAGGAAGAUUUUCACCCACUCAAAGUGUCUCCUUGACAAGUAGAGUGCAUUCCGGAACAAGGGAUCAGAAUAGCAAAUACGUAGAUAGGCAAAGACACAUCUUUAUCUGCUUUCUUACUAAAAAUCUAGGAAAUAUGGGCAGGAGCUGUCAUGCUGGUAUCAUUCCAGCCUAGAUGAAAAUUACUGGGAAUAUAUGUUCCAAUGGUCUUGACAGUAAACAGAUUAUCAUACUUUAAUUUUUCUUUAGUUUUUUUUUUUUUUGAGAUGGAGGUUUGAUCCUGUCCCCCAGGCUGGAGUGCAGUGGCACGGUCUCAGCUCACUGCAACUUCCACCUCCUGGAUUCAAGCGAUUCUCCUGCCUCAGCCUCCCGAGUAGCUGGGAUUAUACAUGCCCACCACCACGCCUGGAUAAUUUUUUGUAUUUUUAGUAGAGAGGAGGUUUUUCCAUGUUGGCCAGACUAGUCCUGAACUCCUGACCUCAGGUGAUCUGCCUGCCUCUGCCUCCCAAAGUGCUCGGAUCCUCCCAAAGGAACUGGAUAUUUGGUAUCUCUAGCAAGACAGAGCUGCUUUAGAGUCUCCCCAGGGAAGGAUGGUGCUUUUGGGCAGGUAGGUAGUUUGGUGAAGGUGAUGACAAAAAUCCUAAGGGGCCUGACUCCUGGGAAGCCUCCCUCUUUCCCCACUUUACCAAUUAUCUCACUUUCAUAAUAAGGUCUGUGCUUUCCUUAAUUGCUUCACUUCCACCAACAGGUGCAGGGGAAAGAUAAAUACAUUUCACCUUUCAAUGAAGAGAUUGUCAGGUAGCCUGUGGGAGAUGUUUAUAUAUUAAUAAUAAUAAUUUUAAAAAUCUGGUAGGGGGCGGUGUCUCACACCUGUAAUCCCAGCACUUUGGGAGGCAAGUGGAUCGCCUGAGGUCAGGAAUUUGAGACCAGCCUGGGCAACAUGGCGAAAUCCAGUCUAUACCAAAAAUAACAAAAAUUAGCCUGGCUGAUAGUGCGCACCUGUAAU
ensembl:lncRNA